rnacentral:rRNA from 1 species
UACGAAGGGGGCUAGCGUUGCUCGGAAUCACUGGGCGUAAAGGGUGCGUAGGCGGGUCUUUAAGUCAGGGGUGAAAUCCUGGAGCUCAACUCCAGAACUGCCUUUGAUACUGGCGAUCUCGAGUCCGGGAGAGGUGAGUGGAACUGCGAGUGUAGAGGUGAAAUCCGUAGAUAUUCGCAAGAACACCAGUGGCGAAGGCGGCUCACUGGCCCGGAACUGACGCUGAGGUGCGAAAGCGUGGGGAGCAAACAGG